AUUGAACGCUGGCGGCAGGCUUAACACAUGCAAGUCGAGCGAGCGGCGGACGGGUGAGUAAUGUCUGGGAAACUGCCUGAUGGAGGGGGAUCACUACUGGAAACGGUAGCUCAUACCGCAUACCAUCAGAUGUGCCCAGAUGGGAUUAGCUAGUGGGGGGGGUAAUGGCUAACCUAGGCGACGAUCCCUAGCUGGUCUGAGAGGAUGACCAGCAACACUGGAACUGAGAAAGGGUCCAGAUUCCUACGGGAGGCAGCAGUGGGGAAUAUUGCACAAUGGGCGCAAGCCUGAUGCAGCCAUGCCGCGUGUGUGAAGAAGGCCUUCGGGUGGUAAAGCACUUUCAGCGAGGAGGCGUUACUCGCAGAAGAAGCACCGGCUAACUCCGUGCCAGCAGCCGCGGUAAUAC
rnacentral:rRNA from 1 species